CAAUUACCCACUACGUUGGGCGGCGUGCUUAACACAUGCAAGUCGAACGGAAAGGCCCUUCGGGGUACUCGAGUGGCGAACGGGUGAGUAACACGUGGGCAAUCUGCCCUGCACACCGGGAUAAGCCUGGGAAACUGGGUCUAAUACCGGAUAGGACCACUUGGCGCAUGCCUUGUGGUGGAAAGCUUUUGCGGUGUGGGAUGGGCCCGCGGCCUAUCAGCUUGUUGGUGGGGUGACGGCCUACCAAGGC
rnacentral:rRNA from 1 species